rnacentral:lncRNA from 1 species
GUGGUCUGCCCGUGCCGCCUCCGCCCAGCCUCCUCCAUAGCCCUCGCCAGCGCCGCCGCCGCCUCCGGCGUGAGCGUCUGCUGUAUGGUACUAAGAUCCGCCCUCAUCUUGAUCUCCCCCAACUCAUCAAUCGAUCAAACCACCACCCCCCCAAAAUUCACACACACCCCCUGCCCUCCUCCAAUCCAAGAACCACCCGCAAAAGUGCAGGGUUGGAGCGGAGGCGGAGGCAACGAGACGAGGACGACGACGACGACUACCACCACUACUAGUACGCCACUCCACCACAAGGUAGAGAGAGAGAGGGGAGAGGGGAGGAGGAGGAGGAGGCGAAAUGCGAAUAGAAUCUUCGUCUCCGCGCAGCCUUGCGUUAACAUUGCCUUGCCCCCCCCUUUGGAAGAGUG